rnacentral:rRNA from 1 species
UACGAAGGGUGCAAGCGUUACUCGGAAUUACUGGGCGUAAAGCGUGCGUAGGUGGUCUGUUAAGUCUGAUGUGAAAGCCCUGGGCUCAACCUGGGAAUUGCAUUGGAUACUGGCAGGCUAGAGUGCGGUAGAGGGUAGUGGAAUUCCCGGUGUAGCAGUGAAAUGCGUAGAGAUCGGGAGGAACAUCUGUGGCGAAGGCGACUGCCUGGACCAGCACUGACACUGAGGCACGAAAGCGUGGGGAGCAAACAGG